rnacentral:sRNA from 1 species
UGGUAGGCGAAAGUACAGUGCAAUGAUCUCCCACAACUUCACAAUAAUUUUGAAUGGUAAUAAUGUAGGGCCAUAAGGGCUCCGGGUAGGGCUGUCAUUUCCGCCCAGCUGCCAUUCCUUUGAACAAGUUCACUCCAGAAUUUGAUAAAGCACUCAUUACAUCAUCACGUCAUAGUUCCCCGCAAGCCCACUGGCUCUAGUAACGGCGAUUCGAGCCGGCGACUAUAGGCGACGCUUAAGUAUGUGAUGAAGAAGAGGGAGAUACCGAGCUGGUUCCUGGGCGUCAAGAUGUCCGUCCUGCUGUAGCUGGUCCUCGACUUGGUCAGUUCGUACUUGUGGUUCAUGUCAACGGCAGAGAUGUGAAUUGCCGGCUUCGGGAAGAGCGCUACAGCUCGAGUUAUCGAAUCGCGAAUCUCGCGGGGUAAGCCUUUGACAAAAGUGGAUUGGGGAUUAUCUCAGGAAAACUCCAGACUCGAUCCUUGGAAUUUCUCAGCCUUGCCACGUAUCUAUCGGAGACGAGGGACCAUAGAC